GUCGCUUUAGCUCACUUGGGAGAGCGCCAGACUGAAGAUAAACUUUGGUCCCACUAGCAACUGUGCGGUAUCUGGAGGUACUGUGUUCGAUCCACAGAAGCGACA